AAAUUACUCCCUCCGUCCAAAAAUUCUUGUCUUAGAUUUGUCUAGAUACGGAUGUAUUUAGAUACAUCCGUAUCUAGAAAAAUCUAAGACAAGAAAUUUGGGACAGAGGGAGUAGUUG
rfam:Triticum aestivum genome assembly, contig: Triticum_aestivum_CS42_TGACv1_scaffold_579166_7BL